rnacentral:rRNA from 1 species
UAGGGAAUCUUCGGCAAUGGGGGGAACCCUGACCGAGCAACGCCGCGUGAAUGAAGAAGGUUUUCGGAUCGUAAAGCUCUGUUGUUAAGGAAGAACGAGUGUGAGAAUGGAAAGUUCAUGCUGUGACGGUACUUAACCAGAAAGGGACGGCUAACUACGUGCCAGCAGCCGCGGUAAUACGUAGGUCCCGAGCGUUGUCCGGAUUUAUUGGGCGUAAAGCGAGCGCAGGCGGUUAGAAAAGUCUGAAGUGAAAGGCAGUGGCUCAACCAUUGUAGGCUUUGGAAACUGUUUAACUUGAGUGCAGAAGAGGAGAGUGGAAUUCCAUGUGUAGCGGUGAAAUGCGUAGAUAUAUGGAGGAACACCGGUGGCGAAAGCGGCUCUCUGGUCUGUAACUGACGCUGAGGCUCGAAAGCGUGGGGAGCGAACAGG